AUGGACGUCGCCGAGUCACCGGACCUCCAGGCGCAGCUGGCCGCGGCCGUGCACGCACUUAAUCACGCCUCGCAUCCCUCCGCACGUCUAGCCGCCAACCAGUGGCUCGUCGGCCUGCAGCGUUCGCCGCAGGCGUGGGCGCUGGCGGUCUCGCUCCUCGCGUCCGCGGAUCAUCCGUCCCCUUCCGCCGAUCUACUCUUCUUCGCCGCCCAGAUGCUUCGCCGGAAGAUCCAGUCACCCGACUACUCGCUCCCGGACAACGCCGCGCAGCUCCUCGACGCGCUCCUUGUCGCGGCCCGCCGUUUCUGCCUUGCCCCUCCCCGGCUGCUCACGCAGAUCUGCCUGGUCCUCGCGGCGCUAGCGCUCCGUGCGGAGGGAGGGGUAGACGGGCUUUUCGCUCGAAUGCCGCACCUACCCGACCCCGCCUUGCUGGAGCUGCUCACCGUGCUCCCCGAGGAGGUGGCGCAGGAUGAGAGCGGCGACACGGGGGUCGACUCCGCCACGCGGUGCAGGUUCACGCGUGAGCUGCUCACGCACGCGCCCGCCGUGCUUGAGUUCCUGCUAGCGCAGUCUGAGAAGCCGGCCGCCGCGGACGGGGUGCCCCUCCACGAGCGCAACCAUAGAAUCCUGCGAUGCCUACUGAGCUGGGUUCGCGCGGGAUGCUUCUCGGGAGCGCCGGUGUCCGCCCUCGUCGCACACCCACUUCUGACGUUUGCGUUCAACUCCCUGCAGGCGUUCUUCUCGUUUGAAGUGGCCAUAGAGGUUAUGACCGAACUUGUCAGCCAGUAUCAAGAAUUACCACAGGCAUUUCUAAGCAAGAUGCCAUACAUCAGAGAGGUUCUUCUUUUACCAGCUCUAGCCAACAGAAGUGAGAAGAUUAUUGCUGGUCUUACUAGUUUGAUGUGCGAAGUUGGUCAAGCAGCACCUGGUUUGGUUGCAGAAGGGAGUAAUGAAGCACUUUCUCUUUCAGAUGCACUUUUGAGAUGUGUAGCUUUUUCUAGUGAAGACUGGGAGAUCGCAGAAUCCACCUUGCAAUUUUGGUGCAGUUUGGCACAUUGUAUUCUUGGAAUCGAUGAGCAAACAUCCAAAAGGAAUGCCACACAAGAGUUGUUUCUCCCUGUUUUUUCUUCACUGCUAGAUGCUCUUCUUUUUCGUGCUCAGAUUAUUGAUAUCGAUGAGCAUUGCACUGGCCGAGCAUCUUCCAUACCUGAUGGACUAGUACAGUUCAGGCUGAACCUGGAGGAGCUUCUUGUUGAUAUUUGUUUGCUUCUAGGUGCUCCUGCAUACAUUAAUAAGCUUCUUUCUAGCGGAUGGGGACUGGCUAGCCAAUCAAUACCUUGGAAAGAGGUAGAAGUUAGAAUGUACGCACUUAGUAUGGUUGCUGACACAAUUUUACAAGAUGGAAGCCCCUUCGAUUUUUCAGUUGUAAUGCACUUCGUGAACAUUCUGUCCAGCAGAACACCUGCUGAACUGAAUGGAUGCCAGUUCUUGGUAUACAAAUCGUUUGGUGAUGUCAUUGGUUCUUAUUCAAAGUGGUUAUCAUCUUCCAAAAGUAAUAUUAAGCCAUUACUCCUAUUCUGCGCUUCAGGGAUUUCAAAAUCCAUAUCAUCAAACUCUUGCUCUGUAGCUUUACGUAAACUUUGUGAGGAUGCUUCGUCAUUCAUCCACGAGCCUCCGAUUCUAGACAUUCUUUUCUGGAUUAGUGAGGGUAUGGGCGAGGGGAACCUGCGGAUAGAGGAUGAGGAAGAGAUCAUUAGUGCAAUUACACAUGCUCUAUGUUCUAUUCUCGACAAAGAAUUGAGGAAAACUUCACUGGCCAGACUACUUUGUUCAAGCUACUCAGCAGUUGAAAAGAUUAUUGACAUAGACAGAGAUGAAUUGCUAAGGCAAAAUUCUUGUGCUUACGCACAAGCCUUGAACAUCGCAGUUCGUGGACUUCACAGAACGGGUGCAUUGUUCAGUCAUUUGGCGAUGUCAAUUACAUCUGGUCUAAUUGAUGAUGAUACGAUUUCGGUUCUUUUCGGUAUAUUCUGGCCACUCCUUGAAAAACUUUCGCAGUCAUCUCAUAUGGAGAACACUAGUUUAUCUACUGCUGCUUGUCGUUCUCUUUCUUCGGCCAUACAUUCUUGUGGACAACAUUUCCAAAUUUUAUUACCUAAAAUUCUUGAAUGCUUAUCUAUGAAUUUCUUGCUGUAUCAAAGGCAUGACUGCUUCUUAAGAACAGCUGCCAACAUGAUUGAAGAAUUUGGCCACAAGGAAGAAUACAGUGUUGUAUGUGUCAGAACUAUUGAAACGUUUAGCUCUGCAGCUUCACUAUCAAAUUUGAAUUCUUCUUACACAUGUGAUCAAGAACCCGAUCUAAUUGAAGCCUAUGCAAACUUCACAUCUGCAUUUAUCCGCUGCUGUCCAAAGGAAGCUAUUGUCGCAUCUCGCUCGCUGCUUGAGCUGUCAUUUCAAAAGGCAGCUAUAUGCUCUACAGCAAUGCACCGAGGAGCAGCACUUGCAGCAAUUUCAUAUAUGUCAUGUUUUUUUGAUGCUAGCCUUACUGAUGUGCUGGAAUCUCCAGAAUGCCCCUCUGAUGAAUCACGUGGUGCGGUGCUGGUUCAAAUUUUGGCACGCUGUGGUGAAGGUCUUAUGUCUCACGUAUUUUAUGCUCUACUUGGUGUAUCAGCCUUGUCAAGGGUACAUAAAUCUGCAACAAUGCUGCAGCAGUUGGCGGCAUUGUGUAGCCUCUGUGAGAGAACAAUGUGGAAGGGGAUACUUUGUUGGGAUUCCCUUUGUGGGUGGCUGCAGACAACGGUGAGUUCUUUGUCCUCACAGUACCUAAGGCAAGGGGAAGCCGAGAUGAUAAUUCCAUUAUGGCUCAAGGUGCUUCAGGAUGCCGCCUCGGACUAUCUUCACAGCAGGACUGGCGACAAUUGCAGAAACCAUCCUGGUUACAUGCAAGGAAAAGGUGGAAGAACCCUUAAACGCGUAAUUCGAGAUUUUGCAGAAAGCCAUCGAAAUGUUCCCACCCCCUAUAUUGAUAGCAGGUGGAGCUGCCAUCAACAGUUAAGUUAA
rnacentral:rRNA from 1 species